CAGGGGCUCCUAACAUACCUGCGGGAAAGUCAACGAGAUUGAUGGGGCAAACCUGAAUCCCUGUUGUGGAAAUGCAUCUUCUGUUGGUGUCGCGCGUGGUGGCCACAUCUGCGACCUGUUUCAAUCCCCUUUUCCUACCAGACCACCACACCGAUCAUCAACACCUAUUAUAAUCUCCCGACCACCUCAGUGGAUGAUAUUGAGAACUGCCACAUGCAUACACCACUUAACAGAGGUUAAUUAGGUUCAUGAAGGCCCGGAAAUCUUCAGUCCUAUGCUACGGUAUGAUACAAUACUGCCAUGGUUCGUGACCACCCAAUUACUAUUUUUGUUGAGAGAAGCUUUGAUCUAUACUUUUAUUAUUGCUUUUCCUGCCCUCUGUGCAGAUUCUUUUCUAAUGUCCAUCAAAGAGUUGUGAUCAAAAUAGAAGCAGACAUCUUACUAACCAUACACUAUUUUCAUCUAGCAAUUUUUUAGUCCGAUAUAUGUAUAUUCAAGAAGCUUGCAAAAUGCAAAAGCUUUUUCCCAGCGCUAAUACUCCACUACCAAUUGUAUUAUGCCCACAUUUGUGUUCUUCCAAUUUAUGGUUAUGUUAUUCGUACAUUUCUGUAAUAAGUUCAUCUCUCUUUUGUAUCAGCUACCAUGUAUCUCCUUCAGAGUAGCAUGUAACAUACACACGUGAUGCUAACACUGCUGCAAACAAAGAUCGUGCAUACAGAC